AUGAAGAACGUAGCGAAAUGCGAUACUUGGUGUGAAUUGCAGAAUCCCGUGAACCAUCGAGUCUUUGAACGCAAGUUGCGCCUGAAGCCACUAGGCCGAAGGCACGUCUGCCUGGGCGUCACG
rnacentral:rRNA from 1 species